AACGAACGCUGGCGGCAUGCCUAACACAUGCAAGUCGAACGAGACCUUCGGGUCUAGUGGCGCACGGGUGCGUAACGCGUGGGAAUCUGCCCUUGGGUUCGGAAUAACAGUUAGAAAUGACUGCUAAUACCGGAUAAUGUCUUCGGACCAAAGAUUUAUCGCCCAGGGAUGAGCCCGCGUAGGAUUAGCUAGUUGGUGAGGUAAAGGCUCACCAAGGCGACGAUCCUUAGCUGGUCUGAGAGGAUGAUCAGCCACACCGGGACUGAGACACGGCCCAGACUCCUACGGGAGGCAGCAGUGGGGAAUAUUGGACAAUGGGCGAAAGCCUGAUCCAGCAAUGCCGCGUGAGUGAUGAAGGUCUUAGGGUUGUAAAGCUCUUUUACCAGGGAUGAUAAUGACAGUACCUGGAGAAUAAGCUCCGGCUAACUCCGUGCCAGCAGCCGCGGUAAU
rnacentral:rRNA from 1 species